CCCUUAGAUGUCCUGGGCCGCACGCGCGCUACACUGAAGCUAUCAACACGUUUUCCCUCCCUGAGAAGGGCGGGUAACCUUUUGAAUCAGCUUCGUGGUAGGGAUCGGGGCUUGCAAUUGUUCCCCGUGAACCAGGAAUUCCUAGUAGACGCGAGUCAUAAGCUCGCAUCGAUUAAGUCCCUGCCCUUUGUACACACCGCCCGUCGCUACUACCGAUUGAACGUUUUAGUGAGGCAUUUGGACCGACGCAUCUCAGUUUAACCGCUGGUUUGUGUCGGAAAGACUUCCAAACUUGAGCGUUUAGAGGAAGUAAAAGUCGUAACA
rnacentral:rRNA from 1 species